GGAAACCAAAGCCCAAAAGAGGGAAGCAUAAGCCGGCGGACGACAUAAAUGUCCCCGGAAACUAGGCGAACUUAAAACACUGGAAAUACAAAGCAAAUAUAGCAACCCGACAACGCAAAAGAACGAAACCAUAAACUAAGAAAGAAGCAGAAGGUAAAAACCUUAAGAAAACCAAUAGACAAAAGAAUACAAGAAAACCACUUCUUCUAAAGCACCUGCGAUUGAGAUUUACCUAGGAUGCCCGCGGCCAAUCCUAAAAUAAUAUCUACCUUCUCCUAUCACGAUGAGAGCUGAUCUCUCGAAACCAAGAAACAAAGACUUCAGAACCCGGCAAGCAAAACCUAUGAAUUGAGAGAACCUCGAGCAUGCUUCCGAAUACGACUACGACGACUGCCACGUCCAACAAUGUCUAACUAGAAAUCAUCAAAAGGCAAACCUAUCUAAACAGAGUCGGGAAAGCAAGACAAGGAGAGAGGCCCAACCUCUCAAAUAUCACCAAUCACAAGAAUGAGAACGACGAUGGAUCGAGACGGUUGUCAAACACAGCGAACAACAUCAGGGAGAAGAAGCAUCUGCAAACAUAAAGGUCUAUCAAUCCAAAACAAACAAACUAAACUUCUUCUUAGCAAGGUGACGAACCCAAAAGAAUUCAAUGGUUAAGACGAGUCGACCAGG
rnacentral:lncRNA from 1 species